GCUUCCAUGUGUUUAAAAUGGAGGCUGAUGUUGCUCAAGUUGUGGGGCUGUGAUAAGGGUUAAGAAUAACAAUAAACAUCUAUUGAGUAUUUUCCAUACCCUCAGCCCAGUUCUAAACCCUCAUGUGCACUGAUUUAUUGAAUUCUCACAACAACCCUGUGUGGAAGAGUCCUCAGUCACUCAGUCAUGUCUGACUCUCUGCAGCCCCAUGGACUACAGCCUGCCAAACGCCUCUGUCCAUGGGAUUUCCCAGGCAAGAAUACUGGAGUGGGUUAACAUUUCCUCCUCAAGGGAUCUUCCCAACACAGGGAUGGAACCCUCAUCUCUUGAGUCUCCUGCAUUGGCAGGUAGAUUCUUUAUCACUAAUGCCACCUGGGAAGCCCCUACAACAACCCUAGUUUGAUUCAUAUGUGCUGUUCUUUUACUUCACAGAUGAGGAAACAAUGGGAGAGAAAUACCCAAGGUCACACAGCAAAUAGCAGAGCCAGGCUGUUUGACAACAAAGCCAAGUCCUUAAUCUCCACAUUAUACUCACUAUGCAAAUUAUGUUAAAUACCUAUAAUAGGUAACCAGUAGCUGUUACUAGGAACCGGGGUGGGUAGGGCCUGAUUUAUAAGCAAAGUGAAGAGUUAAGUACCUGAACUAAUUAGGUAAACCAAAGGCUGGGCCACUCAGAAGUAUCUUCAGUUCCAUUUGCCAUGGUUUCUCAUUUCUCACUGUCAGUGUCGUUCCUUCAGAGCAGGAAGACACUUCAGGGACAUUUGGCAAUGUCUGGACACAUUUUUGCUUGUCACAACUGUGGGAGUGCUGCUGCUGCUGCUGCUAAGUUGCUUCAGUCGUGUCCGACUCUGUGCGACCCCAUAGACAGCAGCCCACCAGGCUCCCCCAUCCCUGGGAUUCUCCAGGCAAGAACACUGGAGUGGGUUGCCAUUUCCUUCUCCAAUGCAGGAAAGUGAAAAGUGAAAGUGAAGUCGCUACUGGCAUCUAAUGGAACUUUGAUCGGAAGAAGAACCUUCAUGUGUGAAGUACCUGUGAUACUCGGCAGCACAUCCAGCUUUCUUGCGUUGUUGGAGAACACUAUGCCUCACAUCACUAUGACUCGAUUUCCAUCUUAUUGUGCAUUAGCUUCAAAUAUUCAAUAAAUAAUCUGGAAAGGAGUUGUAUCAAUCACUUUAGGCUAGGUUAUGAUGCAAUAACAAAUGAUCCCAGUAG
ensembl:lncRNA